rnacentral:pre_miRNA from 1 species
AAUAAGAUUAUUUUUCAGUUUUUUUAUAUAAUGUUUUGACUCUUCAUCUUAUUUGAAAUUUUUUACGAUUAAUAUUUUUAUUCUUACUAGAUGAUAAAACAUAAAUAGCACUUAUGCGUGACUAAUUUUUUUAAGUUUUUAUACAAAUUUUUCAAAUAAGACGAAUGGUCAAACAUUAGACACGAAAAAAC